AGUGAACGCUGGCGGUAGGCCUAACACAUGCAAGUCGAACGGCAGCACAGUAAGAGCUUGCUCUUACGGGUGGCGAGUGGCGGACGGGUGAGGAAUACAUCGGAAUCUACUUUUUCGUGGGGGAUAACGUAGGGAAACUUACGCUAAUACCGCAUACGACCUACGGGUGAAAGCAGGGGAUCUUCGGACCUUGCGCGAUUGAAUGAGCCGAUGUCGGAUUAGCUAGUUGGCGGGGUAAAGGCCCACCAAGGCGACGAUCGGUAGCUGGUCUGAGAGGAUGAUCAGCCACACUGGAACUGAGACACGGUCCAGACUCCUACGGGAGGCAGCAGUGGGGAAUAUUGGACAAUGGGCGCAAGCCUGAUCCAGCCAUACCGCGUGGGUGAAGAAGGCCUUCGGGUUGUAAAGCCCUUUUUUUGGGAAAGAAAAGCAGCAGGUUAAUACCCCGCUGUUCUGACGGUACCCAAAGAAUAAGCACCGGCUAACUUCGUG
rnacentral:rRNA from 1 species